GCGCUCGCUUCAGCAGCACAUGAACUCAAAUUGCAAUGAUACAGAGAAGAUUAGCAUGGCCCCUGUGCAAGGAUGACAUGCAAAUUCGUGAAGCUAUUCCAUAAUUGU